rnacentral:misc_RNA from 1 species
GCAGGAUCAACCAGGUAGCAUUCCUCAUUGACAACGGCAUUGCAAGACGGUGCUCAACCACGAAGGCCUUAGCACGUCAACACAACACCAGACGUCGUUCGUUUGUGCGAAUUACGCUAGUUUUGGGUAAAAGGAAGUCAUCGACCCCAUACCCUCUAGGUAUUCCGUAUCCGAGAGCUCAACCAAAAUUCAUGGGCCGCAACAACAACACGACGAGUGAGUGGCACGGAACACAAAUAACGUUUCGAUAUUCACCCGCCGCAGCACCCUUAUAAGGGGCAACACUAGGUGAACGAUGGGCUAAUUGACAACCGAAUUCCAUUCUAGUAGGUAUGCAACACAGGAAACCGUAUCGUUCGGCCAAGGCUAAUGCCGCUCUUGGGCCGACAAAUGAAGAGGAUUGUAUGGGAGGACGUCAUUGCCCAAGCAUAGAUCCA